UCUAAGAUAGUUUAAAUUAAAAUAGUAAAAUGUGAUUUUACAGAUACUUCAAAUUUUAUUUCUUUAUAGUU
rnacentral:tRNA from 1 species